rnacentral:rRNA from 1 species
GGAGGGGGCCAGCGUUGCUCGGAAUCACUGGGCGUAAAGGGCUCGUAGGCGGUCUGAUAAGUCCUGUGUGAAAUCCCUUGGCUUAACCAAGGAACUGCGCCGGAUACUGUCGGACUAGAGGCCGGGAGAGGGAAGCGGAAUUCCGAGUGUAGCGGUGGGAUGCGUAGAUAUUCGGAGGAACACCGGUGGCGAAGGCGGCUUCCUGGACCGGUUCUGACGCUGAUGGGCGAAAGCUAGGGUAGCAAACAGGACUAGAUACCCUGGUAGUCCUAGCUGUAAACGAUGGGCGCUUGGUGUUGCGGGUAUCGACCCCUGCAGUGCCGAAGCUAACGCAUUAAGCGCCCCGCCUGGGGAGUACGGUCGCAAGGCUG